rnacentral:rRNA from 1 species
CCUACGGGGGGCAGCAGUGGGGAAUAUUGGACAAUGGGCGCAAGCCUGAUCCAGCCAUGCCGCGUGUGUGAAGAAGGCCUUCGGGUUGUAAAGCACUUUUGUCCGGAAAGAAAAGCUUCGGGUUAAUACCCCGGGGUCCUGACGGUACCGGAAGAAUAAGCACCGGCUAACUUCGUGCCAGCAGCCGCGGUAAUACGAAGGGUGCAAGCGUUACUCGGAAUUACUGGGCGUAAAGCGUGCGUAGGUGGUUUGUUAAGUCUGAUGUGAAAGCCCUGGGCUCAACCUGGGAAUUGCAUUGGAUACUGGCAAGCUAGAGUGCGGUAGAGGAUGGCGGAAUUCCCGGUGUAGCAGUGAAAUGCGUAGAGAUCGGGAGGAACAUCUGUGGCGAAGGCGGCCAUCUGGACCAGCACUGACACUGAGGCACGAAAGCGUGGGGAGCAAACAGGAUUAGAUACCCCAGUAGUC